AUCUCAGGCUGGCUGCACACCUCAGCUGAAGAUCCCAGCUCCUGUCAAUGCCACAGUCCGCUUGACCGUCUCCUCCCAGAUUCAAGCAGGUACGAGCUGGGAAAUAGGAAGGCAGGGCAUGCCCAUGUGCCAGGUCUGCACAGCUGGAUAGAUGAGGAAAGAUGUGGAGGAGGGGCCGGUGAUUGUCUGGAAGCCUAAGGAUGUUGUUUGGCCCUUGGGCUCCAGAAUAUGCAUACCAGGACCUGGGGUGGCACCCACCAGGAAGCAACAGAGAGGAGAUAAAACUCACAGCAGACAGACUUGCCUUAACAAAAAUUCCCUUGAAUUAAAACAUGCUUUUCAAGAAA